GACGAACGCUGGCGGCGUGCUUAACACAUGCAAGUCGAACGGAAAGGCCCUGCUUUUGUGGGGUGCUCGAGUGGCGAACGGGUGAGUAACACGUGAGUAACCUGCCCUUGACUUUGGGAUAACUUCAGGAAACUGGGGCUAAUACCGGAUAGGAGCUCCUGCUGCAUGGUGGGGGUUGGAAAGUUUCGGCGGUUGGGGAUGGACUCGCGGCUUAUCAGCUUGUUGGUGGGGUAGUGGCUUACCAAGGCUUUGACGGGUAGCCGGCCUGAGAGGGUGACCGGCCACAUUGGGACUGAGAUACGGCCCAGACUCCUACGGGAGGCAGCAGUGGGGAAUAUUGCACAAUGGGCGGAAGCCUGAUGCAGCAACGCCGCGUGCGGGAUGACGGCCUUCGGGUUGUAAACCGCUUUCGCCUGUGACGAAGCGUGAGUGACGGCAAUGGGGAAAGAAGCACCGGCUAACUACGU
rnacentral:rRNA from 1 species